rnacentral:rRNA from 1 species
AUUAAACGCUGGCGGCAUGCCUUACACAUGCAAGUCGAACGGCAGCACGGGGCAACCUGGUGGCGAGUGGCGAACGGGUGAGUAAAGCAUCGGAACGUGCCCUGGAGUGGGGGAUAACGUAGCGAAAGUUACGCUAAUACCGCAUAUUCUGUGAGCAGGAAAGCAGGGGAUCGCAAGACCUUGCGCUCUGGGAGCGGCCGAUGUCGGAUUAGCUAGUUGGUGGGGUAAAGGCCUACCAAGGCGACGAUCCGUAGCGGGUCUGAGAGGAUGAUCCGCCACACUGGGACUGAGACACGGCCCAGACUCCUACGGGAGGCAGCAGUGGGGAAUUUUGGACAAUGGGCGGAAGCCUGAUCCAGCCAUGCCGCAUGAGUGAAGAAGGCC